rnacentral:rRNA from 1 species
UACGGGGGGGACUAGCGUUGUUCGGAAUUACUGGGCGUAAAGCGCACGUAGGCGGCUUUGUAAGUCAGGGGUGAAAUCCCGGGGCUCAACCUCGGAACUGCCUUUGAUACUGCAAAUCUCGAGUCCGGAAGAGGUGAGUGGAAUUCCUAGUGUAGAGGUGAAAUUCGUAGAUAUUGGGAAGAACACCGGUGGCGAAGGCGGCGACCUGGGCCGUUACUGACGCUGAGGCGCGAAAGCGUGGGGAGCAAACAGG